rnacentral:rRNA from 1 species
AUUGAACGCUGGCGGCAUGCCUUACACAUGCAAGUCGAACGGCAGCAUGAUCUAGCUUGCUAGAUUGAUGGCGAGUGGCGAACGGGUGAGUAAUACAUCGGAACGUGCCCUGUAGUGGGGGAUAACUAGUCGAAAGAUUAGCUAAUACCGCAUACGACCUGAGGGUGAAAGUGGGGACCGCAAGGCCUCAUGCUAUAGGAGCGGCCGAUGUCGGAUUAGCUAGUUGGUGAGGUAAAGGCUCACCAAGGCGACGAUCAGUAGCUGGUCUGAGAGGACGAUCAGCCACACUGGGACUGAGACACGGCCCAGACUCCUACGGGAGGCAGCAGUGGGGAAUUUUGGACAAUGGGCGAAAGCCUGAUCCAGCAAUGCCGCGUGUGUGAAGAAGGCCUUCGGGUUGUAAAGCACUUUUGUCCGGAAAGAAAUGGCUCUGGUUAAUACCUGGGGUCGAUGACGGUACCGGAAGAAUAAGGACCGGCUAACUACGUGCCAGCAGCCGCCGUAA